rnacentral:tRNA from 1 species
GGGGACUUAGCUCAGUUGGUAGAGCAUCGCCUUUGCAAGGCGAGGGUCAGGGGUUCGAUUCCCCUAGUCUCCACCG